rnacentral:rRNA from 1 species
UGGGGAAUAUUGCACAAUGGGCGAAAGCCUGAUGCAGCGACGCCGCGUGAGGGAUGACGGCCUUCGGGUUGUAAACCUCUUUCAGCAGGGACGAAGCGAAAGUGACGGUACCUGCAGAAGAAGCACCGGCCAACUACGUGCCAGCAGCCGCGGUAAUACGUAGGGUGCAAGCGUUGUCCGGAAUUAUUGGGCGUAAAGAGCUCGUAGGCGGUUUGUCGCGUCGGCUGUGAAAACCUAGGGCUCAACUCUGGGCUUGCAGCCGAUACGGGCAAACUAGAAUUCGGUAGGGGAGACUGGAAUUCCUGGUGUAGCGGUGAAAUGCGCAGAUAUCAGGAGGAACACCGGUGGCGAAGGCGGGUCUCUGGGCCGAUAUUGACGCUGAGGAGCGAAAGCGUGGGGAGCAAACA